rnacentral:rRNA from 1 species
GGUGACGUGGAGCAAAUCGCCAAACCCGGCCCCACGUUCAGAUUGCAGGCUGCAACUCGCCUGCAUGAAGUCGGAAUUGCUAGUAAUCGCGGAUCAGCAUGCCGCGGUGAAUACGUUCCCGGGCCUUGUACACACCGCCCGUCACACCAUGAGAGUCAGCAACACCCGAAGCCUGUGAGCUAACGCAAGAGGCAGCAGUCGAAGGUGGGGUUGGUGAUUGGGGUGAAGUCGUAACAAGGUAAC